rnacentral:rRNA from 1 species
AUUGAACGCUGGCGGCAGGCCUAACACAUGCAAGUCGAACGAGUGGCGGACGGGUGAGUAAUGUCUGGGAAACUGCCUGAUGGAGGGGGAUAACUACUGGAAACGGUAGCUAAUACCGCAUACCAUCAGAUGUGCCCAGAUGGGAUUAGCUUGUUGGUGGGGUAAAGGCUCACCUAGGCGACGAGCCCUAGCUGGUCUGAGAGGAGUACCGGCCACACUGGAACUGAGACACGGUCCAGACUCCUACGGGAGGCAGCAGUGGGGAAUAUGGCACAAUGGGCGCAAGCCUGAUGCAGCCAGGCCGCGUGUAUGAAGAAGGCCUUCGGGUUGUAAAGUACUUUCAGCGGGGAGGCGUUACCCGCAGAAGAAGCACCGGCUAACUCCGUGCCAGCAGCCGCGGUAAUUC